GUGCUGCUUCACCAGCACAAAUACUAAAAUUAGAACAGUAUGGAGAAGAUCAGCAUGGCCCCUGAGCAAGAAUGACACACAAAUUCAUGAAGCAUUCCAUAUUUAA
ensembl:snRNA U6 U6 spliceosomal RNA